rnacentral:rRNA from 1 species
CGUCCUAUUAGCUAGUUGGUGAGGCAAUGGCUCACCAAGGCUACGAUGGGUAGGGGUUCUUAGUGGAAGAUCCCCCACACUGGCACUGAGAUACGGGCCAGACUCCUACGGGAGGCAGCAGUAGGGAAUAUUGGUCAAUGGGCGAAAGCCUGAACCAGCCACGCCGCGUGCAGGAUGACAGCUCUCUGAGUUGUAAACUGCUUUUGUACAGGAGCAAAACAAUCCCUGCGGGGGUUCUUGAGAGUACUGUAAGAAUAAGCACCGGCUAAUUCCGUGCCAGCAGCCGCGGUAAUACGGAAGGUGCAAGCGUUAUCCGGUUUUAUUGGGUUUAAAGGGUGCGUAGGCGGCUUAUUAAGUCAGUUGUGAAAUCCUAGUGCUUAACGCUAGAACUGCAAUUGAUACUAUU